rnacentral:rRNA from 1 species
AUGCGUCAAGUACAAGAGCUUCUCGACAAAGGAGGCAUUAAUAAUAUUACUAUUCGUUAUCGUCAUCCUAUUCCUAGGCUAGAUGAUAUGCUUGAUGAAUUGAGUGGCUCUACAAUUUUCUCCAAAGUUGAUUUGCGUAGUGGUUACCAUCAAAUUCGUAUGAAAUUGGGAGAUGAAUGGAAAACAGCAUUUAAAACUAAGUUUGGAUUAUAUGAGUGGUUAGUCAUGCCUUUUGGGUUAACUAAUGCACCUAGUACUUUCAUGAGAUUAAUGAACGAAGUUUUACGUGCUUUCAUUGGACGAUUUGUGGUAGUUUACUUUGAUGACAUAUUGAUUUAUAGCAGAUCUUUGGAAGAACAUUUGGAACAUUUACGUGCUAUUUUUAUUGCUCUACGUGAUGCACGUUUGUUUGGUAACCUUGGGAAGUGCACCUUUUGCACCAACCGAGCAUCUUUUCUUGGCUAUGUUGUUACUCCACAGGGAAUUGAAGUUGAUAAAGCCAAGAUUGAAGCUAUUGAGAGUUGGCCGCAGCCCAAAACGGUCACACAAGUGAGGAGUUUUCUUGGCCUCGCUGGAUUCUAUAGGCGUUUUGUGAGAGAUUUUAGCACCAUUGCUGCACCUCUCAAUGAGCUUACAAAGAAAGAUGUGCCUUUUCUUUGGGGUACCGCACAGGAAGAAGCCUUCACGGUAUUGAAAGAUAAGUUGACACAUGCUCCUUUACUCCAACUUCCUGAUUUUAAUAAGACUUUUGAGCUUGAAUGUGAUGCUAGUGGAAUUGGAUUAGGAGGUGUGUUAUUACAAGAUGGCAAACCUGUUGCAUACUUUUCUGAAAAAUUGAGUGGGCCUAGUCUGAAUUAUUCUACUUAUGAUAAAGAAUUAUAUGCUCUUGUUCGGACUUUAGAAACAUGGCAACAUUAUUUAUGGCCCAAAGAAUUUGUUAUACAUUCUGAUCAUGAAUCUUUGAAACAUAUUAAAAGUCAAGCUAAACUGAAUCGUAGACAUGCUAAAUGGGUUGAAUUCAUUGAGACUUUCCCUUAUGUCAUUAAACACAAGAAGGGAAAAGAAAAUGUUAUUGCUGAUGCAUUGUCUCGUCGCUAUACUAUGCUUUCACAACUUGACUUCAAAAUAUUUGGUUUGGAGACUAUCAAAGAUCAAUAUGUGCAUGAUGCUGAUUUUAAAGAUGUAAUGCGGAAUUGUAAAGAAGGAAGAAUAUGGAACAAGUUUGUUGUUAACGAUGGAUUUGUGUUUCGUGCUAACAAGCUAUGCAUUCCAGCUAGCUCCGUUCAUCUUUUGUUGUUGCAGGAGGCGCAUGGAGGAGGAUUAAUGGGACACUUUGGCGUGAAGAAGACGGAGGACGUACUUGCUACACAUUUCUUUUGGCCAAAGAUGAGACGGGAUGUUGAGCGGCUGUUUUGA